AUGGUUGACCAGGCGUCUCUGGAAGAGGGGGAGCUUGGGGAUGAGGCCAUGAUGGCCCUGGACCAGAACCUGGCCGGCCUAUUUAAAGAGCAGAAGAUGCCCAUCCAGGCCCAGAAUAAGGAGAAAAACAAGUUGCAGAAGGAGAAGAAGCUCCAACGGGACUUCCAGAUCAGGGCACUAGACCUGAUCGAGGUGCUGGUGACCAAGCAGUCUGAGCACCCCCUGAUCCUGGAACUACUUGAGCCACUGCUGAACAUGAUCCAGCACAGCAUGCGCAGCAAAGGCUCCACCAAGCAGGAGCAGGACCCCUGCACAAGACCGCCUGCAUCUUCAUGCACCACCUAUGUCGUGCCCACCGCUCCUGCCACGAGGUGGGGCCGUGUGCAGAGGUCUGCAUGCCCAGGUGGAGAGGCUUGUGCAGCAGGCUGGCAGCCAGGCUGAUGCCUCUGUCACCCUGUACUACUUCAAUGCCUCUCUGUACCUGCUGCGAGUCCUCAAGGGCAACACCACUAAGAGGCACCAAGAUGGUCAGAAGUUACACGGAGCUGACACCGGGCCUGAGCCCAAGGACUCAGAGGACCAGACUGCUAACUGCUUAGACUUGGAUUUUGUGACCCGGGUGUAUUCAGCAUCAUUGGAAUCUCUUCUGACCAAGCGUAACAGCUCACUUAUGGUCCCCAUGUUCCUCAGCCUCUUCUCCAGAUACCCAGUGAUCUGUAAGAACCUGCUUCCCAUUCUGGUUCAGCAUAUGACUGGCCCAUCUUGGCCCCGCCAUCAGGCUUAGGGGUGCCUGAUGCUCCAGAAGACUCUGUCUGCACAGGAGCUAAGAGUCUGUUUUGAGGAUCCUGAGUGGGAGCAGCUGAUUACCCAACUCUUGGGAAAGGCCACCCAGACCCUUCAGACUCUUGGGGAGGCACAGAGCAAGGGGGAGCACCAGAGGGAGCUAUCCAUCUUGGAGCUGCUGAACACUGUCUUCAGGACAGUCAAUCACGAGAAGCUGUCUGUGGACCUCACUGCUCCCUUGGGCGUGCUUCAGAGCAAGCAACAGAAGCUGCAGCAAAGCCUGCAGCAGAGAAAUCACUCGUUUGGCUCCAAUCGCCUCUAUGAUCUCUACUGGCAGGCCAUGAGGAUGCUAGGAGUCCAAUGCCCAAAGUCAGAAAAGAAGAAUGCCAAGGAUAUUCCUAGUGACACCCAGAGCCCCGUUAGCACAAAGCAGAAGAAGAAGGGAUUCUUGCCAGAGACCAAGAAGCAAAAGAAACUUAAAUUUGAGCACACCACACCAGAAAAGAAUGUUGUGUCACAGCAGGAUGCAGUGACAGAUGGUGCCAUGCCUGCUGCCACUGGUAAAGACCAGCCCCCCAGCAGAGGCAAGAAGAAAAGGAAGAGGGUAAAGGCUACCACCUCAUCCCAGGUGAAUGGGAUAACUGUGGCCAAGAGUCCAGCUCCCAGUAAUCCUACCCUAAGCCCCAGCACCCCUGCCAAGACCCCAAAAACUGCAGAAGAAAAAUGAGAAGCUGUCACAGGUGAAUAGAGCCACUCCUGUGUCCCCCAUAGAGCCUGAAAGCAAAAAGCAUCAUCAGGAGGCUCAUGGCACAAAGGAGGUCAUAAGAAAGUCCCCCCAGUCUGCCCUGCCAAAGAAAAGAGCAAGGCUGUCUCUGGUGAGCAGGAGCCCCAGCCUGUUAAAGAGUGGGGUAAAGAAAAGGAGAGUGGCCAGCAGAGAGUGCAGACACCUUGAGAGUGUGUGGUCUUGUUUCCCUGCCCUAGAGACUCCUAUUUUUUCACCAACAUUUUAA